ACGGAGGCAGCAGUGGGGAAUAUUGGGCAAUGGGCGAAAGCCUGACCCAGCGACGCCGCGUGAAGGAAGACGGUCCUCGGAUUGUAAACUUCUUUUAUGUAGGACGAAAAAAAUGACGGUACUACAUGAAUAAGCCACGGCUAACUACGUGCCAGCAGCCGCGGUAAUACGUAGGUGGCGAGCGUUAUCCGGAUUUACUGGGUGUAAAGGGUGUGUAGGCGGGACUGCAAGUCAGAUGUGAAAAUCACGGGCUUAACUCGUGACCUGCAUGUGAAACUGUGGUUCUUGAGGGUCGGAGAGGUAACUGGAAUUCCUGGUGUAGCGGUGAAAUGCGUAGAUAUCAGGAGGAACACCGGUGGCGAAGGCGGGUUACUGGACGAUUACUGACGCUGAGACACGAAAGCGUGGGGAGCAAACAGGAUUAGAUACCCUGGUA
rnacentral:rRNA from 1 species